GGAAGGAUCAUUCGUAUCUACCAAACAACAACCUCAGCUGGUGUUUAUGAACCUCUUCUUAUUUUUUAUUAUUCAAAUCUUAAUCUUUCAACGAUGGAUGUCUCGGGUCUCUCAACGAAGAAGAGCGCAGCAAAAUGCGAUAAGCAGCAUGACAUGCACUCUACGUGAAUCAUCAGAUUCUUGAACGCAAAUGGCAGUUGUUUGGUUCUCCAACGACUAUGUUUGGUUCAGUGUCAUUUAAAAACAUUCUCAUCUUCGUCAGAAAAUGAGGCGUUUGGUAGGUACAAUCGUAUUUACUUGAAGUUUUGUCAUACAAUUUAACAAUUGUAUUCGGAUAUCCCGCUAUACAACGUUAGAUGGAGUGACAGGAGUUUCUCCACUUUCUGUUUUUGACCUGAAAUCAAGCAAGGCUACCCGCUGAAUUUAAGCAUAUAAUUAAGCGGAGGAAAAGAAACUAACUAGGAUUCCCUUAGUAGUGGCGAACGAAGUGGGAAGUGCCCAAGCCGUAAAUUGCUGGUCUCGUACUUGCAAGAUGAGGUUUGCUGAAUAACCAGUUAGACGUCAGGGUUAAGCCUUGUGGAUGCAAGCGUCAUAGAGGGUGAGGACCCCGUCCUUACUCUGAACGUGCUAGCGUACGGUUUUCAGCUAAUGAGUCGUGUUCCUUGGGAGUGGAGCGCAAAUCGGGUGGUAGCUUUCAUCCAUGGCUAAAUAUUGGAGAGACGCCGAUAGUGAAGAAGUACCGUGAGGGAAAGAUGAAAAGAACCUCGAAAGGGGGAUUAAAAUUACCUGAAACCGUUGAAAGGGAAUGGAUUGGCGAUUUAGUUGCAAUGUGAGGACUGCCUUCAAAUCGGAUUGUUUAUUACGCAAGUGUAGGCGUCCACAUGGGGAGGGUACGUCCGAACAGCAAGCCGGUUGGGCCUCGAGUUGUUGCGGGACUAUAGAUUGUACUAGGACUUGUCUUAGUGUCUUAAGUCUUUGCGCAAUUUUUGGUGAGUAAUGUAACCGUCGUAAAAAUCGUCAAACCACCCGUCUUGAAACACGGACCAAGGAGUCUAACUUACGUGCAAGUCCUAAGGUGGCAAACCUUUGGGCGUAAUGAAAGUGAUAGUUUGGAUCUUUGCACAAACGACCGACUUCCUCUGGAGGUUCGAGUAUGAGCAUGUAGGUUCGGACCCGAAAGAUGGUGAACUAUGCCUGAGUAGGGUGAAGCCAGGGGAAACCCUGGUGGUGGCUCGUAGCGAUACUGACGUGCAAAUCGUUCGUCAAACUUGGGUAUAGGGGCGAAAGACUAAUCGAACCAUCUAGUAGCUGGUUCCCUC
rnacentral:misc_RNA from 1 species